rnacentral:lncRNA from 13 species
AUGGAUCAGCCAAAAGGCAAGGGUCCACUUUUCCCAAAAACUUCACUCCUAUGGUCACAGGCUCACCUUUAUCCUGACCCUCGGUGCAAGCCUCAGGCUCCGAGAACUUCCCUCCUAUGGUCACAGGCUCACCUUUAUCCUGACCCUCGGUGCAAGCCUCAGGCUCCGAGAACUUCACUCCUAUGGUCACAGACUCACCUUUAUCCUGACCCUCGGUGCAAGCCUCGGGCUCCGAGAACUUCACUCUGUGCUGAUUACAAAAAAACACACAAAAAAAAGACCGUCCUACCAAUCCUCGACUUCGGUGAUGUCAUCUAUAAAAUAGCCUCCAACACUCUACUCAACAAACUGGAUGCCGUCUAUCACAGUGCCAUCCGUUUUGUCACCAAAGCCCCAUACACUACCCACCAUUGUGACCUGUACGCUCUCGUUGGUUGGCCCUCGCUUCAUACUUGUUGCCAAACCCACUGGCUACAGGUUAUCUACAAGUCUCUGCUAGGUAAAGCCCCAUCUUAUCUCAGCUCACUGGUCACCAUAGCAGCACCCACCCAUGGCACGCACUCCAGCAGGUAUAUCUCACUGGUCACCAUAACAACACCCACCCAUGGCACGCACUCCAGCAGGUAUAUCUCACUGGUCACAAUAGCAACACCCACUCGUAGCACGCGCUCCAGCAGGUAUAUCUCACUGGUCACCAUAACAACACCCACCCAUGGCACGCACUCCAGCAGGUAUAUCUCACUGGUCACCAUAGCAACACCCANNNNNNNNNNCUCGCUUCAUACUUGUUGCCAAACCCACUGGCUACAGGUUAUCUACAAGUCUCUGCUAGGUAAAGCCCCAUCUUAUCUCAGCUCACUGGUCACCAUAGCAGCACCCACCCAUGGCACGCACUCCAGCAGGUAUAUCUCACUGGUCACCAUAACAACACCCACCCAUGGCACGCACUCCAGCAGGUAUAUCUCACUGGUCACAAUAGCAACACCCACUCGUAGCACGCGCUCCAGCAGGUAUAUCUCACUGGUCACCAUAACAACACCCACCCAUGGCACGCACUCCAGCAGGUAUAUCUCACUGGUCACCAUAGCAACACCCACUCGUAGCACGCGCUCCAGCAGGUAUAUCUCACUGGUCACCAUAACAACACCCACCCAUGGCACGCACUCCAGCAGGUACGUCUCACUGGUCAUCCCUAAAGCCAAUUGCUCCUUUGGUUGUCGUUCCUUCCAGUUCUCUGCUGCCAAUGACUGGAACGAACUGCAAAAAUCUCUGAAGCUGGAGACUCAUAUCUCCCUCACUAGCUUUAAGCACCAGCUGUCAGAGCAGCUCACAGAUCACUGCACCUGUACAUAG